AAUUUUAUAAUUUUAAGUUAAAAAGAAUUUGAAUUGCGAAAAUCGAUUGAAUUUAGAAAACGAUCCUAUUCGGUUUUGGAUUCGAAUCCUAAAACUAAACUCCUAAUUCUAGCCCAAUUGGAAAAGCCCAAAUAAUAAGACCCAAAACACUUUACUCCUUCCUUCUCUUUCAAUUCACGUAAAAAAGGCCAAAAACAAAAAUACACCAAAACCCUUUCUCUACUCCAAGUUCACGUGAAUUGCUUCUCAAACCUCCUCCUUGCUUCACGUUAACCUCUGCGCCGUCACCUUCAGCCACCUGACCACCGCCGGCACUCCUCCCUCCUCCGCCGUCCGGUAAGCUUCCCCUCCCUUCUCACCUUUCUUUCUCCCUUUCGCGUUCUUGCUAUCCUCCUCACGAACUCUCUGUUUUGCGAAGCACCACCAGCCACCAUCACCUUGCCGCCCUGCCGCCCUGCUCUUAGCCACCACCUAAUCGCGCCGCCGAUCCUCCCAACUGCCCGGUAAUGCUUGUCCUUCCUUUUCUCUUUCGUUCUCCUUUUUUUUUCUAUGUUAGUUCGUGAACUCCUCCUCAUUCGUGCUCUGUUCAUUGCGGAAGCAACCACCAUUCGCCAGCCGCAGCCACCACCUCGCCCAGCCGCGUCGACCCAUCAACCACCAUCGCCGCGUGCAACCUUGUGUCCGCCGGCAGCCUUCAUCUCUCCUCUUCAUUGGGCGGAGAAUUCUCUUUAGGCGACUUUUGAAAGUGUUAAAGUGGCCUAUCAGUUUGUUUACACAAGUCUCUAAGGAUCAAUAAGCAUUGUCCAUCUGCAGGUUUGAAGAUGUUGCAUCAUUGGGAUCGGGAAUAGAGAGCUUGUAUUUAGUUUUGAUUUGCUAAGUUGACUUGGGUUUGUUUAAUUGGACUUUAAACUUGUCAUACUAUUUAUAUUUCCUUAUGUUCGUUGGUUGAUUUUUGGGACUAAACCUGUAAUCGAUUAUUUAUAAACCUAAAGUUAGUUUUAUGUUUUCCGCUGCAAAAUUCUGAAUAAGCCGUUACGUUUUCACACGGGCGAUAAUGCCUUGAUAAUUCUCUACGUUUUAUAUUAAAAGGUUAUUUUAGA